AGCGAACGCUGGCGGCAGGCCUAACACAUGCAAGUCGAACGAACUCUUCGGAGUUAGUGGCGGACGGGUGAGUAACACGUGGGAACGUGCCUGUUGGUUCGGAAUAACUCAGGGAAACUUGUGCUAAUACCGAAUGUGCCCUUCGGGGGAAAGAUUUAUCGCCAUUAGAGCGGCCCGCGUCUGAUUAGCUAGUUGGUGAGGUAACGGCUCACCAAGGCGACGAUCAGUAGCUGGUCUGAGAGGAUGCCCAGCCACACUGGGACUGAGACACGGCCCAGACUGCUACGGGAGGCAGCAGUGGGGAAUAUUGCGCAAUGGGCGAAAGCCUGACGCAGCCAUGCCGCGUGAAUGAUGAAGGUCUUAGGAUUGUAAAAUUCUUUCACCGGGGACGAUAAUGACGGUACCCGGAGAAGAAGCCCCGGCUAACUUCGUG
rnacentral:rRNA from 1 species